CCUACGGGAGGCAGCAGUGAGGAAUAUUGGUCAAUGGCCGUAAGGCUGAACCAGCCAAGUCGCGUGAAGGAAGAAGGUUCUAUGGUUUGUAAACUUCUUUUAUAGGGGAAUAAAGGUAUCCACGUGUGGAUCUUUGCAUGUACCCUAUGAAUAAGGAUCGGCUAACGCCGUGCCAGCAGCCGCGGUAAUACGGGGGAAUCGAGCGUUAUCCGGAUUUAUUGGGUUUAAAGGGUGCGUAGGCGGGCUUUUAAGUCAGCGGUAAAAAUUCGGGGCUCAACCCCGUCCGGCCGUUGAAACUGGGGGCCUGGAGUGGGCGAGAAGAAGGCGGAAUGCGUGGUGUAGCGGUGAAAUGCAUAGAUAUCACGCAGAACCCCGAUUGCGAAGGCAGCCUGCCGGAGCCCUACUGACGCUGAGGCACGAAAGUGUGGGGAUCGAACAGGAUUAGAUACCCCAGUAGUC
rnacentral:rRNA from 1 species